rnacentral:rRNA from 1 species
GACGAACGCUGGUGGCGUGCUUAACACAUGCAAGUCGAACGAUGAAGCCCAGCUUGCUGGGUGGAUUAGUGGCGAACGGGUGAGUAAUACGUGAGUAACCUGCCUUUAACUCUGGGAUAAGCCUUGGAAACGGGGUCUAAUACCGGAUACGACCAACCCUCGCAUGGGGUGUUGGUGGAAAGGGAUUUUGUACUGGUUUUAGAUGGGCUCACGGCCUAUCAGCUUGUUGGUGAGGUAACGGCUCACCAAGGCGACGACGGGUAGCCGGCCUGAGAGGGUGACCGGCCACACUGGGACUGAGACACGGCCCAGACUCCUACGGGAGGCAGCAGUGGGGAAUAUUGCACAAUGGGCGCAAGCCUGAUGCAGCGACGCCGCGUGAGGGAUGACGACCUUCGGGUUGUAAACCUCUUUCAGCAGGGGAGAAGCGAAAGUGACGGUACCUGCAGAAGAAGCGCCGGCUAACUACGUG